AACACAUCCAGCCUCAGACUCAGCAACUAUACCCCAGACCAUUUGCAUCAUGCUUGGAGUAUACUGUUAGAAUACAGAAAGGCAGCUGUGUAAAGAAAUAAGGGUCAUGAAAUCUGAUGAAGAGUUAUGAGGUCAUAUACAAGAAGGUGGGAAAAUAAGGAGAUCAUCAGAAAAAAAAAAGACUCAGAAGAAAACUAGUGGUUUUUGUUGCUGUUUUGUGUUGUUUUUAUCAACUCUGUGCCAGCCACUCUGACAAUUCACAGAUGCCAUCUCAUUUGUAAAACCAUCUCAUCUGUAAACCAUCAGAGUUGAUCUUCUAUUAUUCUCAUUUUAUAUGCUUGGAAAUUAAUACUGAAAAUUUGGACUGGGUAUCCAAGGCAAGACACCUAACUAGAUGCCACCAGGAAGAACAUCUCCCACAAAAACAGACCAAAAUAUCCAGUAAAUCAGCAUACUCAGAACAGAUCAUCUGAAGGAAUGAACUAAAAGAGAUUAGAAAGACAACCCAGACACCAGGAUGAAAGGGAGAGGAAGCUGGGAAUCCUUCUUGGGGUUGCUGAAUAUGGGACAUGUUCCAGGCCCUGAAUGGCUCUGAGUCCCUGGACUUUGGGACUCAUUCUGCUCGACUUGAUCCCUGCUCUGCCCAUUGAUCACAUACACACGUUUACACCUGGCAGAAGAGGAAGAGGAGGCAUGAAGGAAUGGCCUCUUCAGAAUGGAGAAAAGCCUUCCCCAUGAGAACAUGCCUAAGACAGACUGCUGAAGAAGGCGGCAAAUGGAACAGCGCUGAAUCAGCCUGGUCAUCCCAGUCAAGCCUCCAGACAUGUAAGCACCCUCCUCUGAUCUGCAGAGCUGCCUGGCCCAAAUACUGUUGACCACUCUUGAGUAAGCCCCACCAAGAUCAGCUGAGAACAGUAGAACUGACCAGAUGACUCUAACCUCAUGAAUAAAUCCAAGUGUUUUU
rnacentral:lncRNA from 1 species